CGGUAUUAUGGCAAAUACUGCACAAUUUUUAUAAAAAACAUGCUUGUAAGAAACGUUGCCCAGUUUAUAUCAGAAAAGGAAAACAAGAUAUGCCUGCCGAUAAUAGUUGGUAUUUGAUUAAUCUGAGACAUGUACUGUUGUCAAUGUGGACUUCAAGCAUUUAUGAUUAAACAGGUACUGUCGAAGAACGAAAAUUAUAUGAACACGUCUAAGCAGUGUACUUUGACACACGAGUAUUAAUAGAAAGAUUUCAAACAUGCUGCAGGCAUAAGGGAAAAAGAAGAGGGAAAAAGAAGACAAUUGGAUGUUCACAGAAUAGAGAAAAC